GGGCCGUUAGCUCAGCUGGCUAGAGCGUCUCGAUGGCAUCGAGAAGGUCGCUGGUUCAAGUCCAGUACGGUCCACAA
rnacentral:tRNA from 4 species